CAAAAAAAAAAAAAAAAAAAAAAAAGAAUUUUCAUCCUGACCAAUCUGGGUGACCAAUCAAUUAAAUUGGUUUAGGAAGAGCUUGCCCUAGAUUGGUUGAUUUCAUAAUUUUUCUUUUUAUUAAUUAUUGGGUUUUUCUCUCUGAUCUCUGCAUUGAAAAUUAUUUCCUAAGCCAUAAAGACUUGUUGAGGUACCAUUCUAGAAUCCCCAAUAUUUAUUCUAGUUGUUAUAGUAACAGUGGAACCCAAGUUUCUCCUAAAGCAUUACCCAGCUUUCCUUGCCCAGGCAGAAAAGAUGGCAGAGGGAGGGUGAACCCAGGGCCCAUCUGUGGGUAUGGGCUCCAAUUUCCUAAAUUGUUUGUGGUUAUAACCAUGGCUUCCACCUUGUCUGGCACCGGGUCCACAUCUUUUCUGAGACCUGCUAGAAGAGCUGACAGCCACUUGUUUGUUUCAUCUUUCCUGAGAACUAAGAGAGGUUCACCCAGCUCAGUUCUUCUCAAAGACACCCCGUCUGUGCAUUGUGCUUGUUUGCUCAUCCAUGAAAAGAGGAAGAGAGAACAGCCGUGGAUGUGAUGUCAGUAUCAAAACUUCCUUGAGGACAGGCGGGAUAAAUUGGGCAAACGGCUGAGUUCUCCCGCAGCCUUUGGGAGAUUGGCCCUGAGAACCCAGAAUAGAUGCCCAUUAUACAUCAUGCGUGUGCUAUGGAAAGGUCUGUGCCAGGCAAGCCUGAGAGCCUAAUUCGCUAUUCCUAUGGGGUUCCAUGCACCCAUCCUGGCUGUCAGGCCCCAAUACCCAUCAUACUUGACCUGUACUGGGUAUUUUUUCACUCAGAUCCCUCACUCUACAGUGACUCUACCAGAAAUCUUGAAUUCCAGAUGAGCCACGUCAUGCCAUUGUCAGCAUAGGAGGCCCUUUGAAGCCCCAAAAUGGGUCAUUUGCACUCCCUUCUUCUGCCUGCUCCUGUUCCCAUGAGUGGUUGGCAUGGAAAGGGCCAUCAGUAGAACUUGGCUGGCAACAUUUGCAGGAGCAGGAAUCAACAGAGGACCCAGGAGAAAGGGAUGGAGCCCAGGGCAUGAAACAUAGUCCAGAUUCCUGCUGGUCAGAGCCCUAGAGAAUAAGAGAAGCUUGCUGCUGGUGAGGGGGUAUGGCCAGGAUUCCUGGAGUCGGAAGAGCUUCAGCUUCACCAUCUUGGGAGAAGAAGGAAGAAAGUGAAAGCGAUGUGGUCCUUCUUAGUCCCAAGGACCCUGACAGCUUUCACAUGUGAUGUUUCAAGGCAACGGGGAGAGCUUCUUUACCAGAACGAGGGAGAAGAUAAGACUAAAGCAGUAAUGGUGGUAGGGACUGAAAAUCACUUAGUCUUUUCUCUACUCUCUUUCUUUCCAAACUUUGAGUUGAGUGGUGAGCUUGGAAAACACUCCAAAACUCCUCGUGGCCUCUGGCACCAGUCUGACACCCAGUAGGAAUGCAGGAGAUUACGUUAGUUUUCAUAAUUUAGCAUUGAUCACUCCCAGCUCGUAGCUAAAGUUGAUCAGUAACUGUUGGUUGGUUGGCUGGUUUGGGGCUUGGGGAUCCCUGAGCCAACUCAAGGGCCAGAAAGGAUUCCAGAGUGUUUCCACGGUCCUUCAAUGUUCCUUAAGCAUUCCCACUUUCUGAAGUGCCAUACAGAGGCUUGGGGCAGAGACAGGGAGAGGGGAUGACCAGAAUGGAUGGGGAGCCGGAAGGGCCGGGGCUCUGGGGACCCAGCUCAGAGCAGCGAGAACAGCGGAAAAGCAGGCAGAUCAAAACAAACACAGUGUCUGGGAACACCAAGACCCUCCUAAUCCCAUCCCCGCCAAAGGGACCCCACCCUUAUCCUCUUUAGGGGCGCGGC
rnacentral:lncRNA from 1 species